AAAUGUGUAUUGAUUACUGUUUAAGCCACACUGUAUUGAAGGUUGAAUAAAUAGAGAUAAAUAAGACAUGGUUUCUGAUGUCACAGAAUUAACAAGAUAAUUACGUUAAAAUGUGGCAAGUACUUUGAAUGGGGAAGUUCUGGAUAGCAUGAAGACAGGACACCUGUCCUAGACUCUCAGAGCCCCAAAAGACUCUCAUCUUUUGAACUUUUUUUUUUAAACAUGGAUAUUUUUGAGAGCUUUAUUUCUCUUAUUCAGUACGUGUGCUUUUUGCUUUCUUUGUGAAGAAUAUGGGCUCUGAACAUUACAAUUUUAAACAGAAAGUGAUCUCUUAUAGUCAUUCAUUUCUUGUUUUCUAUAUUCUUGCUUCUAAAGAUCAUUAUACUUCAUGUUCUACUUAUGAAAUUUUAGUAGCUUUUGUAUAAAAUCUUUAGCAGAUCAUUUCUAAAAAUGUAGAAUUGAACAUGUGAUAAAUUAAAUUCAUUGAAAGCAAAUUGUUCACAGAGAAGCAGCUAGAGCUGCUGGAUUUAAUGUUUUGCGAUUAAUUCACGAACCGUCUGCAGCUCUUCUUGCUUAUGGAAUUGGACAAGACUCCCCUACUGGAAAAAGCAAUAUUUUGGUGUUUAAGCUUGGAGGAACAUCCUUAUCUCUCAGCGUCAUGGAAGUUAACAGUGGAAUAUAUCGGGUUCUUUCAACAAACACUGAUGAUAACAUCGGUGGUGCACAUUUCACAGAAACCUUAGCACAGUAUCUAGCUUCUGAGUUCCAAAGAUCCUUCAAACAUGAUGUGAGAGGAAAUGCGCGAGCCAUGAUGAAAUUAACGAACAGUGCUGAAGUAGCGAAACAUUCUUUGU
rnacentral:lncRNA from 10 species